GUUUUCAAAAGCUCGAUAACGUUUGUAUCCGUUCCGUCCAUCUAUAGUUGAAUUUUUAGUUUCAAAUAAGAAUAUAAUUGGGUUUCAUUGAUAUAAACUCUCCUAAAACCAGAGUAAAUUCUUAAACGUUGUGAGAGUGUUCAAUUCUUGCUAGUCUAGCACAGCUUACGAAUCAAUAUUUAAGCACUCCCCACAUCAACAUCCACUUCCAAGAAAUUAUUUCCAAAGCCAUGACUUUUUUGGACAAGUGGAUUUUCGAUCCCCAAAAUGUUAGAGAACAUGGAUCUUCUCGAGCUCCUCAAGCCAUCUACAGAACAACAAGAUUCCCAAAUUGAGGAAACCCGAAAAAUACAAAAUUAUACCACAAAAUGGUAAGAUACGUGUAUUACCAUUCCAUGGAGUACGAGUCCAACGCCUCCAUACGAAAAAAUGGUGUACACCGAUAUACAGCAGAUAAAAUAUAGGUAUCUAUUUACCAUCUAAAAAGAAAAAAAAAAUUGGCAAAUCUUAAUGACAUGUAAGUUGUAUUUCACUUAAUAUAGUGCUUCUUUGGAUCCGCAACUCCAUCUAAACCGGGAAAAAGAUAUGGAGGCCAAAUAGGUAUGAAAAUCUCCAUUUUAUCGAAGAUGAAAUAUUUGGAAUCCACAAAUUUAUUUGUCAACUUCGGUUCUGCUUCUGAAGGUGGUAUUAACGAACCGAAAAAAAUACUGUCUAUAGACAACAAAAUGAUCAAGAUAGAAAAAAAUCACAGACAAUCAGUAUUUCAAUGCUUGCAAUUAUUUAGCAGAUUAUCACAAGACAUUUAAAACUCAAAGCAGCGAAAACUUUGAAAAAAUAUCCGUAUUCGUCUCCCAGAACCUUCCACUCGAAUACAAAUUUAAACAUAAUCUACAGAUCGAUCUUUACAAUGAAAAGUACAUAUAUGGCAUAUUGUUUUUUAUCACGCGAAGAACUGCGAUUCCAUCAUUAUGCAAACGAUCCAAAAAAAACUACAGAAUUGAAUGUUGAAGAAACAAUUAGCAACGAAUUCGACAUCUAAUUUAGAACACUUUGACCGUUGCUACGAAGAUAGAAACCUGCUGUUACGAUGAAGUAGGAACAAGAAAAAAACAGACCAAGAAGAUUUGGGAAGACAAGUCGAUCGGAACACGAAAAUAAAUGGAUUAAUUGAAUGAGGAAAAGAAGGUGAACAGAGUGCUGAAGAACGAUAAAAGAAUCUAGUGAUGAGUCCGAGGCAUCGAAACCUAUACGUAGUAAUCGGUUAGCUGUCCAAGACAACCAUCUAAAGUUGAUUGUUUCACCGCCAGAACUGCAUACUCUCAUUCCCAGAAAGUUUACUUUGCAUAUUAUCGAGAUAUCGACCCCAGAUUAUGUUAAAGAAAAUGAAUGGAACGUGCAUAUUAUAAAAAAAAUGUUGAUCUACAGAAUUACACGUCGUGAGUUUUGUCCACCCAGAUUCGCGAGUGAGAUUGAUGAAAGAUUUGAAAAAUUUUGAAAAAUUAUCGUUUACUGUUGUCAAACUCAUUCACCAGAUCUUAGCUGGAGUAAUAAUAUGUUUUUUGGUUCCGAAGUUCAUCUACAGCAGCAAGAAUUACUCGAAUGUUGGUUACAAUAUCAAAAUACAGGAGAUUUGACCAAAUUACAUUUUAUUCUAAUUCUAGAAUAAUUAAUGCUUCGUAUUAUUUUUACUCGUACUUGUGAAAAAUCAUAUUCUUGUUAGAAAAUAUAACAAAAUACCUAUAUAUUUUUUAAAAUACCAAUAUAUAUAAUAUUUCGA